rnacentral:tRNA from 1 species
GUCCCUGUAGUAUAAAUUAAUACACUAGUCUUGUAAACUAGAAAUGGAACUUAUAACCCCUAGGACA